UUGAAAUAUUGUGUUUUAUCAUCUUUAAGAAAGAAAUCAAACAAGACAUGAUUAUUUCCACAAUUAGAACAAAGCCUAUUUUGAAACUGGCAGAAAUAUGUUUGGCAUAAUAUGGUAAUAACUUGUGAUACUUUAAUCAUAUUUGCUUGGAAAUCCUUAAUCACACUGGCUUUCAUUGUCCCUAACACAUUGACUCUUAAUAUCCCCAACACAAUGGCUUUCAGUGCUCCAAGCUCAUUGACUUUCAAUGUUCCAAGCUCAUUGCUUUCAAUACACCUAUCAUAUCGGCUUGCAGAGCCUCCUUUGCAUUGGUUUCCAGUAUCUGGCAAUCAGGUCUUGG